rnacentral:rRNA from 1 species
CCCUGUAAUAUGAUAUGACUGAAUGUUGGAUUCUUGGAGUCGAGUUGUUUGGGAAUGCAACUCGAAGUGGGUGGUGAACUCCAUCUAAGGCUAAAUAUGUUCAAGAGACCGAUAGUGAACAAGUACCGUGAGGGAAAGAUGAAAAGAACUUUGAGAUAAGAGUGAAAUAGUACUUGAAAUCGUAU